CUGAACACACCUGCUUCAUAGCAUAACUGUGGGGCUGGCCAAAGUCUGUUUGUUUUUUUCUGUAAAAUAAAAGACCCAUUUUUCAUUUUCACCAAUGACAUUAUUGACUUGGACAUUUGGACUAUGGCCGCUCUCUCCCGUAUGGUAGAACAUUGACCGUUCUCCUUCAAAGUCUCAGUGUGAUCGCUGUCGAUUUCAUCUGGUCUGCCCGACUGUGGGGCAUCGUCCAGAGAGGAGUCUCCAGCACAGAACUUCGCAAACCACUCCUGACACGUUCCACCAGUCACGGCACCUUCUCCACACACUGCACACAUCUUUUUUUGCAUUUCAGUUGCAUAUUUACCUUUCUUGAAAUAAUAAAGCACAAUACACAAAAAUGUCUAUAUACCAGCCCUGG